CCUGGAAUAGUUCAGUUGGUAGAGCAUGAGACACUUAAUCUCAGGGUGGUGGGUUUGAAUUGGGCAAAAAGAUUCCUGCAUUGCAGGG